CCCCCUCAGUCAUGGUCUAUCGCUUUUGAAACUUUUGCCUAGCUUACAUGUACGAGUUUGUGAUAAGAUCAGUUUAAAAUGAACUGCUAAUGUUAAGUCAAUGAUAUUGCGUAUGCAAAUUUAUUGGCAUUUGCAAGUAUACAUGUAGUUUCCAUAGAGAUUAAACCAACCCCUCUUCAUGGUUCAUUGACUGAAAUUUUU
rnacentral:lncRNA from 1 species